CUUACCAAGGCCAUGCAUUGCCUGCUUUGGUGGCCUUUUGGAAUCGUAUCCAGGUCUCACAUCUUUCUAAAGGCCUCAUAAAGAGACUGCAGUCGAAAAGGUCCACAACGGGUUUGUGUUCUAAGAAAAGCCACCGUUCAGCACUGUGGAUUGGCUACUGGCACACAAGAACAGGGCUGAGUCAGUGAGCUCCGUGGACUGGAUCUCUAUGCUGCAGGAAAGACCCACAUUGCCACCUAGUGGUGAGAGGGACAAACUCAUCUGAUGCCCCUUGUUCCAGGCUGCCUCUGCCCCACCUGAGAUGAGUUGGUACCAGUUCCACACCUGGUUGUAGCAAUAUAGAAGCAAGUCAUCUCAAAUGCCUGAAGGAAAUCAGGAAACAAGCAUCAUGUGUGUAUGGUGACAUGACUCCACAGAACUGGAACUAGUGAUGAGUUACCCUAUUGCACAGGAUCAUGCUUCCAACCAGUCCUAAGCACCUCGCCUGAAGUAUCCUUGGCAGCUAACAACUCUUUCCAGGUCUGGCUUAGAGUUGAACACAUGGAGAAGAAAUGCAUGAAAGUAUUCAGGGAAAGUAAAAUACCUGCCAUCAUUAAGAAAUCAUCAUUGAUCUGAAGCUGUGACAAAGAGGACCAGAGGUGCUGGGUUGGCUGUUAGAGCACUUGAUGGGUACACAUGAGGCCCUGGGUUUGAAUCCCAGCACUGAAUAAAAUAAGUUAAUAAAGGGUGCCAGUGGUUCCAG